GGACCCGUGGCCUAGCUGGAUAGGGCGUCACCCUCCUAAGGUGAAUAUCGCGAGUUCAAAUCUUGCCGGGUCCG
rnacentral:tRNA from 1 species